rnacentral:rRNA from 1 species
ACGGGUGAGGAACACGUAGGAACCUGCCCAAGAGAGGGGGACAACCAAGGGAAACUUUGGCUAAUACCGCAUAAUCUCUGAGGAGAAAAGUUGCCCGUAAGGGUAGCGCUUUUGGAGGGGCCUGCGUCCGAUUAGCUAGUUGGUGAGGUAAUAGCUCACCAAGGCGAUGAUCGGUAACUGGUCUGAGAGGACGACCAGUCACACUGGGACUGAGACACGGCCCAGACUCCUACGGGAGGCAGCAGUGGGGAAUCUUGGACAAUGGGGGCAACCCUGAUCCAGCGAUGCCGCGUGGGUGAAGAAGGCCUUCGGGUUGUAAAGCCCUUUAGGCGGGGAAGAAGUUUAUGGGAUGAAUAAUCCUGUAAGUUGACGGUACCCGCAGAAUAAGCACCGGCAAACUCUGUGCCAGCAGCCGCGGUAAUACAGAGGGUGCGAGCGUUAAUCGGAUUUACUGGGCGUAAAGGGCGCGUAGGCGGUUGUGUGAGUGUGAUGUGAAAGCCCCGGGCUUAACCUGGGAAGUGCAUCGCAAACGACAUAACUGGAGUAGGUGAGAGGGUGGCGGAAUUUCCGGUGUAGC